rnacentral:rRNA from 1 species
AGAGCGAACGCUGGCGGCAGGCUUAACACAUGCAAGUCGAGCGGGCGUAGCAAUACGUCAGCGGCAGACGGGUGAGUAACGCGUGGGAACGUACCUUUUGGUUCGGAACAACACAGGGAAACUUGUGCUAAUACCGGAUAAGCCCUUACGGGGAAAGAUUUAUCGCCAAAAGAUCGGCCCGCGUCUGAUUAGCUAGUUGGUGAGGUAACGGCUCACCAAGGCGACGAUCAGUAGCUGGUCUGAGAGGAUGAUCAGCCACAUUGGGACUGAGACACGGCCCAAACUCCUACGGGAGGCAGCAGUGGGGAAUAUUGGACAAUGGGCGCAAGCCUGAUCCAGCCAUGCCGCGUGAGUGAUGAAGGCCCUAGGGUUGUAAAGCUCUUUUGUGCGGGAAGAUAAUGACGGUACCGCAAGAUAAGCCCCGGCUAACUUCGUGCCAGCAGCCGC